CCCGGCUCUAGGUAUGUGGAUUUUGUGCCAGUUUGAAUGGGGAUGGCACUACCCCUGUGAGGAUUCCUUGGAGGCUCCAAAAGGAACUUGGAUGAGGUAUAAAAAUGGUGAAUUUAUUAGUUUAAAAUAAACAUAAAAACAAAGAUGAUAAAAGUCCUCAAAUAAAAGUCCUUUAAAAAUGGCCAAUACGCGUUUCACUCUCAAAUAGAGC